CCUACGGGGGGCAGCAGUGAGGAAUAUUGGUCAAUGGUCGGGAGACUGAACCAGCCAAGCCGCGUGAGGGAGGAAGGUACAGAGUAUCGUAAACCUCUUUUGUCAGGGAACAAAGGCGGGGACGUGUCCCCGGAUGAGUGUACCUGAAGAAAAAGCAUCGGCUAACUCCGUGCCAGCAGCCGCGGUAAUACGGAGGAUGCGAGCGUUAUCCGGAUUUAUUGGGUUUAAAGGGUGCGCAGGCGGUCUGUUAAGUCAGCGGUCAAAGCCCGGGGCUCAACCCCGGCCCGCCGUUGAAACUGGUUUUCUUGAGUGAGUGAGAAGUAUGCGGAAUGCGUGGUGUAGCGGUGAAAUGCAUAGAUAUCACGCAGAACUCCGAUUGCGAAGGCAGCAUACCGGCGCUCAACUGACGCUCAUGCACGAAAGUGUGGGUAUCGAACAGGAUUAGAUACCCGAGUAGUC
rnacentral:rRNA from 1 species